CCUAAGGUGGAAAUUCACACUAUUGACUGUCACGCCUGUACGCUUUGUCAAAAUGACACAAAAUUUGACACACAUAUGUAUCUCAAUAAGAUCUACAAAAAAGUCAGUGCGGGCGUAUCUGUCAAAUGUACGGUUAAAGGGCUAUUUCGCAUUUUUUGGCGAUCCGUACACAUUGGAAUUUCGCUAACUCCUCCGAAGGCUUUCGUUCCACCGGCACCACAUUUGCUCAGGCCAAUCUACACCCCAUGGCCAUUAAAAGUUAUCAAAAUCAUGACGCUGCACCCCAAGGUUUAGGUUCUAGGGGGCGCCAAAGAUAACACUAAAAUCCACAUAUUUAAAAGUCUUAUAACUUUUUAUUUUUGUCCUCACUGGCCUCCAAGUUUUCUAGGAUGAUGCAAUGUCCAGCCAUCAACACAUUUGUGAAGGAAUUUUUACUCCCCAAAAGAGCGCCCCCCCAUGGCAGGAGAAAAAAGUCCAUUUUUUCUUGUCCCCUAAGGUGAAAAUACACAUUGUUGAGUGUCACGCCUCUACACUUUGUCAAAAUGACACAAAAUUUGGCACACAGGUGUGUCUCAAUAAGAUCUACGAAAAAGUCAAUGCGGGCGUCUCUGUCAAAUGUACGGUUAAAGGGCUAUUUCGCAUUUUUUGGCGAUCCGUACACAUUGGAAUUUCGCUAACUCCUCCGAAGGCUUUUGUUCCACCGGCACCACAUUUGCUCAGGCCAAUCUACACCCCAUGGCCAUUAAAAGUUAUUCAAAUCAAGACGCUGCACCCCACGGUUUAGGUUCUAGGGGGCGCCAAAGAUAACCCGAAAAUCCACAUAUUUAAAAGUCUUAUAACUUUUUAUUUUUGUCCUCACUGGCCUCCAAGUUUUCUAGGAUGAUGCAAUGUCCAGCCAUCAACACAUUUGUGAAGGAAUUUUUACUCCCCAAAAGAGCGCCCCCCCCAUGGCAGGAGAAAAAAGUCCAUUUUUUCUUGUCCCCUAAGGUGAAAAUACACAUUGUUCAGUGUCACGCCUCUACACUUUGUCAAAAUGACACAAAAUUUGGCACACAGGUGUAUCUCAAUAAAAUCUACGAAAAAGUCAAUGCGGGCGUAUCUGUCAAAUGUACGGUUAAAGGGCUAUUUCGCAUUUUUUGGCGAUCCGUACACAUUGGAAUUUCGCUAACUCCUCCGAAGGCUUUUGUUCCACCGGCACCACAUUUGCUCAGGCCAAUCUACACCCCAUGGCCAUUAAAAGUUAUUCAAAUCAUGACGCUGCACCCCACGGUUUAGGUUCUAGGGGGCGCCAAAGAUAACCCUAAAAUCCACAUAUUUAAAAGUCUUAUAACUUUUUAUUUUUGUCCUCACUGGCCUCCAAGUUUUCUAGGAUGAUGCAAUGUCCAGCCAUCAACACAUUUGUGAAGGAAUUUUUACUCCCUAAAAGAGUGCCCCCCCAUGGCAGGAGAAAAAGUCAAGUUUUUCCUGCCCAUCGCUCAACGGCUCAAACACAUCGCUCUCUCGGCAAAACCGAAAGGAGGAGAAACUUGCCAUUUGGAUAUAUCCUAGCUGUGUUUGUGCCCUCACUCAUGGUCCAGACUUUUUUCAAAUAGGACAUGUAGUUUGUCUGCAGCGAGCGUUUUGGUAGAAACUGCGCCUCCCAUUCAUUAUAAUGGUAAAUGACCACAGACAAGUGUGCACACCAUCUUUGGACCUUGAGUGUGACGCGAUCGGGAGGGAGAGGCGGUCGUGUUGGGGACGGCGCGACACAGCUCG